ensembl:lncRNA
CUUACUUAGGAGAGGACAGCAGAAGCUUCCCAGCUCCAAGUUAAAUCCUGGGUUAGACAUUUCUUUGCUGUUUAUGGCAGUGAAGACCUGUGUGGCUGCUGGAGCUGCAGGAAGCAGAGAAAACUUGUCAUAUUUUUAGCAGCCACCGAGAAUAGCAAAGAGCUGCUGUGACUCACAUAGGAAAAUGCCGUGUCCUGACGCCCCUCGUGCUGGAGGUGUACAGCUGAGAACUGUGACUCCUGGCCCAGCAGUGAGCUGCCAGCCAGGCUCCAUCCACAGCAGUGAGCAACAGGUGGCUGUUCCCUGUUUAUCCCCUUAAUUAGGAUAUGGGUAGCAUUAAAAAUAAUGCACUCGAUAUUAAUUUAAUUAAUAUAAUAAUAAGGGAUGUUUCAAUCUCAGGCUCGCUGUGGGGAGUCAUCAGUGUGAGGAUACACGUUAAAAACAAAUUUAAAGUCACUGAAGAAUUGUACAGCCCUGCCUUUUCAGAGCCUUUGACCUUAGAAGUGCUUUAGCUUGCUCCUUCCUUAUAGCCCGUGUAGAUUUUUGCGUUACACCCCACUUGGCAAACACGAAUUGCAGGAAGUCAGGUGCCACAGGGAACAGCAGCACUGUGUGCGGGUGUCGGAGCUGCGCCCCGCGCCUCAGGGAAGAGAAGAGCAGUGCUCGAAGGGCUGGGGGGACCCAGAGCCUCAGUUUUCCUCUUCCAGCACAGGGGAAGAAGUGUUUGGCUCCCACACGGAGUGCUGACACGCUUAAUUCAAUCUGACUUGCAAAGUGCAUCGUGGGCCUUAGGGAAAAGGUGCUGUAGAAGCCACAGAAUAUUUUCCUGCUCUCCCUGGCAGGACGGCACUCAGCGUUAUGGAUGGUCCUGCUGCCAUGCAUCUCCCUCUGGCUGACAGUGGGAGCAGUUCGUGUAUAUAAAGCUAAGGGGACCGCUUAGAAGGCUUUUGCUCUAAAUAAUCUGCUAACACUUGUGAUGGAUCGAAAGCUGAAAGGCUGAGAAGUCACUGUUUUCAGAGGGUUUUACAGCAGAAAUGUGCACGUGUGGCUUGGGAGCCGUACAGGAAAAGAGCUGGCUCCCAAGCAGUGUAUUUUCUUUACUCCUCCUUCUAUUUCACAGCCCCCGUUAUUCAUUUUUCAGUUUUACUGUUCGUUUAUAAUUUAGCCAGCUGUUCUUUAACACUGUUCUCUUAUUUCAGGUUUUCUUGAUUGGAUCGGAAAGAAUGCAGACCCAGCCUGGGGCAGAGGGAGCGGGGUGGCCAGAGCCCAUGGCACAGCCUGCACACAGUGGGGUUAGCAGGCGCCUGUUUGGGGGAAACCCAGCUUAUAAUUUAAACAAACAAGCCUGUAAUUCUGAUUCUGCAUUUAUAAUUUGUGGAAAAUGCUCUCCAGAAUAGCAUCCAGUGCAGCACAGCCACUGGCAGCCCAGCAGCCGACAGUGAUGCCCCAAAUCUUUUCAGUGCGUUGAAAUAGAAGUGUAUUCCUGCCUACUCCUUAGCCAAAAUGACGGUGUUGCUUCAGUCUCACCAGACUGGAAAUCAUACAGGCACAUUGUAUGGAAAACAAACGAUUGUAAAUAUGCAGCCCUUCACCAGCAGUUACAACAGGUCCUUCCUCCCUGCCUGGAUUUCUGCACUCUGUAUUCUGACUUAACUCAAUGGUUUCUCUUAUGUUUUGCUUUCUUUCAAUGGCAAGCGAUGCUUAAAAUACCACAGGGUCAGCAUCUUCAGUCAGAACUGCUCCUCUGGCGUUGUUAGUGUUUGCUGUGUACUUCAUCUGCCAUUUCUGAGGAUGAAAAUAAGUCUUAAACAUCUUGAGUAGCUGACAAGGGUACAACCACUCGUGGAAUAACAUUUUUUCUAUGCCUGCUGCAAGCGCCACACAGAGGAGCCUCAUUGCUCUGCAGAGACUGUGCCAUGAAAAACAAACACUGACACCCAAACUCUUCCAGCAGAUGAAGGCAGGUGUGCCCAAGAGACCGGCUGGCUCCCAUUUGCACUACCAGCUGCUGCCAUAUCGGUGCAGUGGAGCCACGUGGAACUGGGGCUUGGAGCUGUGGCCAGCAAAAACAAUUAACUUUGGAACAAGGGCUUUGAUUGCUAUCUCUCUGACGUCACCUUUACAUUGAUGUGAUUCUAUAGGCUGCGGUGGGGUCAUUGCUGAAUCACACUGGUGUGAGCAGGGAACAAUCAGGCUGUGUGCUUUUGGGGCAGUGAAGGUGCUUCUGUUCUGUGAAAAGAAAGAAAGUCGGUUACGCAUCUUAAAGGGUAAAUAAGUUAACCGAGAAAUUCAGAUGGAGCCAAAAGCAUUAUAAGCAAAGAUACUGCAACAACGUUCUAACUGUACUGCUAGUUUAAAAAUAUACAUAGCCUAAUUAAGUAAAGAUUGACUUAGCCAUAAAUAUG